rnacentral:snRNA from 1 species
AACCAAAAACAAAAAAUCGCAUU